AGUGAACGCUGGCGGUAGGCCUAACACAUGCAAGUCGAACGGCAGCACAGUAAGAGCUUGCUCUUACGGGUGGCGAGUGGCGGACGGGUGAGGAAUACAUCGGAAUCUACUUUUUCGUGGGGGAUAACGUAGGGAAACUUACGCUAAUACCGCAUACGACCUACGGGUGAAAGCAGGGGAUCUCGGACCUUGCGCGAUUGAAUGAGCCGAUGUCGGAUUAGCUAGUUGGCGGGGUAAAGGCCCACCAAGGCGACGAUCCGUAGCUGGUCUGAGAGGAUGAUCAGCCACACUGGAACUGAGACACGGUCCAGACUCCUACGGGAGGCAGCAGUGGGGAAUAUUGGACAAUGGGCGCAAGCCUGAUCCAGCCAUACCGCGUGGGUGAAGAAGGCCUUCGGGUUGUAAAGCCCUUUUGUUGGGAAAGAAAAGCAGCAGGUUAAUACCCCGCUGUUCUGACGGUACCCAAAGAAUAAGCACCGGCUAACUUCGUG
rnacentral:rRNA from 1 species